rnacentral:RNase_P_RNA from 1 species
GAAGUCGGCCAGACCGCCGCUGGUGCAAGCAUCGAAAGGUGGCACUGGAGGAAGGUCCGGACUGCACAGGGCAGCGUAGGAGGUAACACCUCUCCACCGCAAGGUGAGGAUCAGAGCAACAGAGACGAGUCGGGGUUUUCUUCGGAAAGCACCGGGUGAAACGGGCAAUCUCUACGCGCAGCAACACCAAAUAGGCACACGUUGACCUGGCCCGGGGAGUGUGCGGGUAGGUGGCAUCGAGCCGUUCUGGCGACAGGCGGCCCAGAGGAAUGGCGGUCACGGCCUGGCAUCGCAAGGUGACAGGCUGCACAGAAUCCGGCCUAUCGGCUGACUUCACAC